GCAGGGUAAGUCGACCCCUAAGGCGAGGCCGAAAGGCGUAGUCGAUGGGAAACGGGUUAAUAUUCCCGUACUUCUUACAAUUGCGAUGGGGGGACGGAGAAGGCUAGGUGGGCCUGGCGACGGUUGUCCAGGUUCAAGUGCGUAGGCUUAAGAGUUAGGUAAAUCCGGCUCUUUCUAAGGCUGAGACACGACGUCGAGCACCUACGGGUGUGAAGUCAUUGAUGCCAUGCUUCCAGGAAAAGCCUCUAAGCUUCAGAUUGUAAGGAAUCGUACCCCAAACCGACACAGGUGGUCGGGUAGAGAAUACCAAGGCGCUUGAGAGAACUCGGGUGAAGGAAGAUACCAGGUGGCUGCAACUGUUUAUUAAAAACACAGCACUGUGCAAAAUCGUAAGAUGACGUAUACGGUGUGACGCCUGCCCGGUGCCGGAAGGUUAAUUGAUGGGGUUAGACUUCGGUCGAAGCUCUUGAUCGAAGCCCCGGUAAACGGCGGCCGUAACUAUAACGGUCCUAAGGUAGCGAAAUUCCUUGUCGGGUAAGUUCCGACCUGCACGAAUGGCGUAAUGAUGGCCACGCUGUCUCCACCCGAGACUCAGUGAAAUUGAAAUCGCUGUGAAGAUGCAGUGUACCCGCGGCUAGACGGAAAGACCCCGUGAACCUUUACUACAGCUUGGCACUGAACAUUGACCCUACAUGUGUAG
rnacentral:rRNA from 1 species